UUUAUAUUUCAUUAUUUCAUUUUCAAUGGAGAAGAGUUUGGGAAUAAUGAUAUUUUUGUUAUGCUCGUACUGUGCGUAUUAAUUGCAAAAAUAAUCAGUGUGUGUGUGUAAAUAUUUCUUUUAAUAGUUCUAUGAUUUGAGUUUUUUAACGCGUAAUUUAAUUAAAAAAUUAAACAAUUUUUAAAAAAAAGGAGCGGAGUGUAAUAAUUUUACGUUUUAGUAAUUUCGCUUUUUCCUUAGACGGGGCAUCUUGAGAGAUGUACGUAUAACUAUCCCGUUGAAGCUAUCCUUUUUUUCGCGAUGGAAAACAUAUUUCUGAGUAGACUGUUCGUGAACUAGUGGAGCGGAAAUAGAACACGUGCUGUUCUCUGAUUUAUCGAGCCGAGGGAAUUUCUCUUCAUAUUACGUAUAAUUAUCCCUGGUGGAACAGGGAAUUUAUCCGAGGAAUUCGACUAUUUGUAAUUAAAUUUUGAUGCUAUUAAUCAUUAAUAUGGAGGAAAUUGUUGUACGAAAGAUAGGACGAAUCAUUUGUUAAAAAAUUAAAGGAACAUUUUCGAGAAAUAAUUCGCAGUGCAAUUUACAGUGCAUUAAAGUUUUCGUUUCAAAAAUUUCUUAAAUUUACCCAAUGUAAUAAUUGUUUAAAUUAUCUCUGUGCAAUUGUGACAAUAAUCAUCUCUUUAUUACCAUAUCAUACGCGUCUGCCUAAAAAGGAUAAAAGGAUGAAAGCGUAAUUUCAGCCAGGUACAAAUUCUAAAAAUUCUAAAGAGAAUCAUUUCGUAAUACCAAAAGUAAAACUUACUUUGAUGUUCAAAUUCAUUCCAACGUUUCGUUCAUUUUCAUUACCUUUCUCUCGAUUAAUGAAAAUUUACAUAUAUAUAUAUCUCACAAAAAAUUAUCACGAAGAAACCAUCGAAUCUAUCAAAUAAUCCCAAAAAUUCGAAUAAAUAAUUUUUAAUCGAAACAACCUAACCUUGGAAAAUGAAAAAUUCUCCAAAUAAAUAUUCUCUUAAGAAGAAAAAAAAGAUGAUCGUGUACCGAAUCGAUGGAAAAUGAAAAAUUCUCUUAAGAAGAAAAAAAGAUGUAAAAAAAGAGUAACGAAUCCAUGAAUAAAACAGAUCUGCAAGAGAGAGAUUUCUCGAAAAUUCGAUCCCGAAACUGAGCGUGUCGAAUCGCCGAUUCGUCGAGCGCAUAAAAUACGAGCCGCGACUUGCCUUUCCGUGACCCCGUGACAAAUAUCCCUAGGUAUUUAAUAGAGUAAUCGUGGCACGGGUGGUGUCUUCGUAACGUGUCCAGCGUGGCGGCCGACCCGUUUGUUCCAAUUAGCCGCACUGAUGUUAAAUAAUGUCACGCCAGGGAGACCGGUCGCCCUCCUCCCCCUUCCGUUACAACUCCCAUCGCAGUUGUAAAUUGGAUGAUCCUAUUUCGUUGUAAACUUCAUCUCCGACCUCCGUGGUUGGAGGUCUCGCGUGGCUCACUACGCGGAUCCUCGUUUCCUUCUUUCAAACGGCCAUUGGAAAAUCGAGUAGCCAGCUGGAGAUAAAAAAAAGGAAAAAAGGAAAAGAAAGGAAGAAAGUUCGUUCGUUUUCAUCCCAUCGAUUCGAGAAUUUUCUUAAUUAAAAUGCUCGACCAUGUGUCUCCUCGAUUCGUGCGGACGAAAGAUUUUCUCUUCUAGGGAAUUUUUUUUUUUCCAUUCCAUUAUUGAGACUCGUGAUCUACGAGGUUUUAUAAAAGAUGUUGCAAGUUGUUGGAGGAUGUAUUUUAAAAAUGGGAGUGAGGGGAUAUUCAACGAUUUUAGACGUUGGGUGGAAGGUUAUUGGACGUUAAUUUGAAGGUUGGAGAAAUUGUGGCGAAACAAACUCAUCCAUCAGGGGAUCGUGCCUCUUACAAUUAAUCAUCUUCAAUCUUUGCAGCAGGUUGAACGAUCUGAUUGGUGUCGCCAACUAAUCCUAUCUAUCAUAGUUUCGAGUUAUUAUAUAAAGAUCUUGAUUUUGAUUUCAGUGAUACGUAGUUGGAAAAAGUUGAAAUCUUUUCUUUUAUCGAAAUAAAUUGUUUGUAAAAAUAAAUAAUAAUAACGAUUUCUGUUUCUCUUGUACGUAAAUCGUUAAUAAUUAAUCAUCGAGAGUGUAAUACUGGAUGAGAAUUAGAAGCGGGAAAGUAUUUUAAUAUCGGGUACCUGAAAAGUUUGAUCGGUUUAACAAGGAGGUUUAAUGAUAAACGGGCUGGCAACUCAUUUAAGUGCAUGGAAACAAAAAGACUUGGCUGACUUUCGCAACAAGUUGCAAAAUUGUGUACCGAAGCGUAACGAAGAUUCUAAGAUUAACAGAAUUUACUGGGAUGAGAUGCAUCAUAAAUCCUCUCUACAGGUUUCUGAAGAAAAGCUCGGUUUCCUCACGGUAUUAAGCAUAGCAAGUAAAAGCAUCAAAAGCGCAUUAAUGUUUCCUUCAAUCUCAAUGAUAAUCUUUCGGGGCUGUUUGUACGAGUAAUUUUCGAGUAUUUAUUUAUAAAAGAAAAAAAAAAAAGGAAAAAUAAACAAAGCAAAAUGAACGAAGAUCGCAAGAAAAGAAAGUAUUUUAGACUAAUAUUUUUUAUCAAUUUUAAAUCUUAAAAGGAAAACAAAGAUUUACGUUCGUUUGUGGACCUUUUAAAAAAAUAUCCAAUCAUAUAACAAAAUAUUCUUCUUUCUUUUUACAAUGUUCGAAAAAUCCCUUAAAAUACACGAAUAAAAACAGAAAUCGUUGCGAUGACUCGCAAAAAAAAAAAAAGGGAAAAGCAAACAGCCAUCAUCUCUUGAAACUUUGAAAGAGCGGAUGGGAACAGAAUAGGCAUAUGAAACAAAAAAGUAACCAACCGUAUGACAAAAUACUCUCUAAAAUCCUUAAAUAAUCCUUCGAAAUAGACGAUUCAAAUCGGGGAAAAAAAAAAAAAAAAAGAAAAAGAAAAAAGAGAAACCAGCAACGCUCAAAACAAAGAAAACCGAUCAAAAUAUUCCUAUUUAAUCUUCAAAUUCGAAACGAAAGGAAAUAAUCUUUUCUUUAAAUCUUUCCAAAUCCAAAGGAAAAAAAAAAAAAAAAAA